AUGUGGUUUAAUUCGAAGGCAACGCGAAGAACCUUACCUGGGGCUUGACAUGCACCGGGAAAGCCGGUGGAAACAUCGGGCCCCUCUUCGGAGUCCGUGCACAGGUGCCUGCAUGGCUGUCGUCAGCUCGUGUCCGCGAGAUGUUGGGUUAAGUCCCGCAACGAGCGCAACCCUCNUCCCUAGUCACCAGCGGGUUAUGCCGGGCACUCUAGGGAGACUGCCGGUGUCAAACCGGAGGAAGGUGGGGAUGACGUCAAGUCAUCAUGGCCCUUACGUCCAGGGCGACACACGUGCUACAAUGGCCGGUACAGAGCGUCGCCAACCCGCGAGGGUGAGCCAAUCGCCAAAAGCCGGUCUAAGUUCGGAUUGUAGUCUGCAACUCGACUGCAUGAAGCCGGAAUCGCUAGUAAUCGUGGAUCAGCCACGCCACGGUGAAUACGUUCCCGGGCCUUGUACACNCCGCCCGUCACGCCAUGGAAGCUGGGGGGACCUGAAGCCG
rnacentral:rRNA from 1 species